rnacentral:rRNA from 1 species
GUUUUUGCCCAAAAUUGAAUGUGCCCAUCUUAUCUGAUCUCAGAAUAUAAGCAGAAUUGGACCUAAUUAAUACUUGGAUGGGAGACCACUUGGGAAUACUGGGUGCUGUAGACA